rnacentral:lncRNA from 1 species
CUCUUGGCUCCUGCUCCCGCUGCCGCCGCGCAGCCGCUCCCCGCCGCCACCUUUGGGGAUUUUGCAAGCCUUUAAUUGUCGUAAGCACAGAUUAAUUAAGCAGCGAUAAACACAAACCCAUGCAUUAUUGAUGAAUAAGGGUGAGUUCAGGUUGGUGCAAACGUUGUAAUUAAAUAUAAACCUCAAGCUGCCCAUUGUUAACUUACAAAUUACAUUACUAUUGCGACAUGUGUCGGUGCACGCGUGGACGGGAAGGGGCUCGCGCCCGGCACAGUGACCCUGCUCGGCCCCGGGCGGUGGGGACGGGGGCUGGGGGUUCGCGGGGGGUCCCCGCCUCCCCAUCCAUCGCUGGGCCGGGCCCUUCUGUGCCCGCUGCCCUCCUGGAUCCGCGCGGCCCCGAGGAUGCUCCAGCCGUCCCGCGCCGUCCCGCACAGGCCGAGGGACGUGCCACGGUCCCACGGGGACACCGGGCGCCGAGGAGAAACGGGGAGUUGUGGCUCCACUGGGAGGGGGCACGCACGGCCCCUGCACGUGCAUGGGCACCACCCUGUGCACUCCUUGCACACGCACCCUGCGCACGCAGCCCUGCACAGCCCCUGCAAGCAUACAAAACUGUGCGCACACACACGCACAUCCCCUGCACACACAGACACGCACGCCCGUGCACAUCCCCUGCACACACAGACACACACACACGUGCACAUCCCCUGCACACACCCCCUGCACGCUCCGUGCAUGCACCUGCUCUGUGCGCACACACCCGGCACGCCCCCAGCUCCCCGAUGUCAGCACCCACCAGAACAUCCCAGCCACCUGCAGGGGCUCAUGUCCCUGCGUCCCCGUUUCCCCAUAUCCUUGUGUCCCCAUGUCCCCAUAUCCCUGUGCCCCCAUGUCCCUGUGUCCCCGUGCCCCCAUGUCCCCAUGUCCCUGUGUCCCCAUAUCCCUGUGGCCCUGCGUCCCCAUGUCCCUGUGUCCCCGUGCCCCCAUGUCCCUAUGUCCCUGUGUCCCCAUGUCCCCAUGUCCCCAUGUUCCCGUGUCCCCAUGUCCCUGUGUCCCCGUUUCCCCAUGAUCCUGUGUCCCCAUGUCCCCGUGUCCCUGUGCCCCCAUGUCCCCAUGUCCCCACCCUGCAGGCAGGCGAGGCAGGGGCUGCAGCCUGUGCUCGGCCACCCUGUUCGAUGCUGCCCACAACAGGGACUUCGGUGCCACUGUCCCCUGUCCCCCCCCAGAGCCUGGGCACCCUCCCAGGCACCUCUCAGCGUUUGUACCCGCUGCCUUGCCCGCGUGUCCCUCCCCGCGUGGAUCUGCACGGCAGCCCCUUGCCCAGGACCCCGCACCGCAGCGGUGCCACCCUCACCGCGGGCACCGUGCUCCCCACGGCAAACCCCGGCCCUCGCCGCGUGGCUGCCACCGCCUGCCCCGCACGCGGCCGGGCCACCCGCAUCCCCAGGGGACCUCGGGGACACCCGCUGGGGACGAGGCACAACAAUGGGGGGGGGGGACAAGGUAGCUGGGGGGAGAGCUCGCGAGAGCCGCGAGCCCGGCUGGGGGAAUCGCUCGCGCCCGCGCUCCCAGAGUGCCCCUCUCCGGGGCGGCGGGGUAGCGGGGCUGGCAGCUGUUAGCUAUUUAUUAACCAGUCAUGGUUAAAUUGGUUUAUAAAUUAACAGAUGUUUUAACUUUAGUCUUUCUUCUGGGAAUGGAGGCAGCAAACUGGGCUGCGCUCGCGCCCGGGGCUCGGCGCGGGCCGGCCGGCCGCCCC